GUGGGGAAUAUUGGACAAUGGGCGAAAGCCUGAUCCAGCCAUGCCGCGUGUGUGAAGAAGGUCUUCGGAUUGUAAAGCACUUUAAGUUGGGAGGAAGGGCAGUAAGUUAAUACCUUGCUGUUUUGACGUUACCGACAGAAUAAGCACCGGCUAACUUCGUGCCAGCAGCCGCGGUAAUACGAAGGGUGCAAGCGUUAAUCGGAAUUACUGGGCGUAAAGCGCGCGUAGGUGGUUUUGUAAGUUGGGGGUGAAAUCCCCGGGCUCAACCUGGGAACUGCCUCCAAAACUGCAUGACUAGAGUACGGUAGAGGGUAGUGGAAUUUCCUGUGUAGCGGUGAAAUGCGUAGAUAUAGGAAGGAACACCAGUGGCGAAGGCGACUACCUGGACUGAUACUGACACUGAGGUGCGAAAGCGUGGGGAGCAAACAGGAUUAGAUACCCUUGUAGUCC
rnacentral:rRNA from 1 species